CUAGGAGUGUGCCUCUGAAGUAAAGAACACAAAAAAUGAGGCUAGCAGGAAAGAGUCUAAAAAAUUAAAGUCAGAUACCCUAGAGGUGAAAUUGAUCUGGGUCUGCAAACGUGAUAAUGUCUUAACCCAGUAGGUAAUUUAAAAAAGAAAAAAGAAUGAAUGAAGAAAAGAUAAAAGAAGAAAAUGUCUCUAAACCUGAUGUUGAUGUCUCUAAGUGAUUAUAAAUAGCUGAGCAAAUGCUGAUAGUAAAAAUACGAAUGCUUUCAUUUCCAGAGUGGAGGGGGCAAACAGACCAACUCUCCUACCAAUUUCCCAAGGAUGGCAUAGUUACACGGAUUAUAUAACCUAUAGGAAAGGACUUUAAACUUUAGGAGAAGCAUCGUUGAAUUCAAGGUGAUUCAAA